CAGAAGGAGAACCCUUAGCAGUAGCCACCACGUCCCAGCAAGAGGAGCAAGCAGAAGCCAGCACUCCAGGGCAAGCUGAUGUAGGGUUAACUGCUCCUUCUCAUGUGCAAUUUCGCAGAGAGUAAGCUCAAAUAUGCAGGCCCACCAGGUUAGCUGAGAAACAGGCUAUCCACAAGCAACACCUGUGCCUUAGUAUAAAAGACUCUUGAGUUUGUAGUCUUGUUGCUGUCUUGCUUGAUGGUGUUAUCAUGAACUCAUUGUGUAACUGGCUCUAUGAACCCUGGACAGGACUUGGACUUAAAUGCUUUGGCUUCUGUCUUACAAUUAAUUAUACUGUUACUUACUGGCUUGUAUGACAUCAGAAUGUAGACAGUGACUAUUGGCACUUGGAUUGUGGAUUUAGGCUUUGAUUCAAAAACUCUCUGUGUAUGACCUCUGGACUUGGAUAUUGACUCUGUGUGUUAGAGUGUGAUUGAGGCACAUCAUAAUACAUAUGAAGCUUUAGUGAAUCUGCUCCCUGAAUCCAUUUAAGGUCAUUUAAAAAGGAACAACUUGGGAAACUGCAAAUCACUUCUGGUGUGAGAGAAUUGGCUGUCUGCAAGGACGUUGCCUAGGGCAUGCCCAGAUAUUUGGAUGUUUUACCAUCCUUGUGGGCAGAUUCUCUCAAGUCCCCGCAUGGGGCUGGACUGAUAGAGGGAGCUCAUCUGUGGGUUGGAUUCGAACCAGUAACAUUGAGAUCAGCAACCCAACCUUCAAGUCAUCAGUCCUGCCAGCACAAGGGUUUAAUCCACUGCGCCACCAGGGGUUCCAUUUCAGGAGUGAACUGAUGACCUCUUUUCAGGGGAAGGGACAUGUUUUUAUGGUCAGUAGCAGAGACUUCUUCUCCCCCCCCCCCCUUCUUCAUUCUCGCUCACAUUGCAAUAUGUUUUGCCACUAUGGGAGAAUUACUGCGGCAGGCCUGAUGGCAUGAGAAGGAUACAGACAAUUAGUGACAAUAGGGCCAGAGUAUCCCAUACUGUCUGCAGGGAAGGAAUGAACCGCUCUUCUUGGCACACUGUGGGGAGGCAGAUGGUUGCUCACUUUUAGCUUGGGUACUCAUGAUUUCCCUUCAACAAUGCUCCCAAAGGAUGCCACACUGGGAAUUCAGCACUACUUAAUAUCAAGGCAUCAUGGAAGAAUAAUUAGAAUGACCAGCUUGUAACAGAAAAGAACAUGUUUUUAAAGUUAACAAAGCAUUUGCUGCUGGCACUUCAAAUGUCAAGAGAGAAUGCUUCUGGAACAUGGCCACACAGCCCGGAAAACUCACAGCAACCCAAAUGCAAAUGUCUUAUUCUUAAUUGGAGAGCUUAUUUCGCCCACUCAAAUAUAUGUUUUAGCUAUGUUUAUUGUUUCUCUGAUAACAUUAGAAAGUGUAGUUUGAUCUAGGGCAAAGCUACAUUAAAGCAUUUGGCUACCCUCAAAAUGAGUCAACAUGUGUGAUUUUUAUGCUUCUGGGAUGGAAGCCAAUUGGUAAACCAUAUUCAACUCAGUUUGCCAUAUACUGUAUAACACUAGGAUAUAUAUAUAAUCUAAAUGGAAAC
ensembl:lncRNA